CAGCCGCCGCGGGAAUACGAAGGGUGCAAGCGUUAAUCGGAAUUACUGGGCGUAAAGCGUGCGUAGACGGUUUGUUAAGUCUGUUGUGAAAUCCCCGGGCUCAACCUGGGAAUGGCAAUGGAUACUGGCAAGCUAGAGUGUGUCAGAGGAUGGUGGAAUUCCCGGUGUAGCGGUGAAAUGCGUAGAGAUCGGGAGGAACAUCAGUGGCGAAGGCGGCCAUCUGGGACAACACUGACGCUGAGGCACGAAAGCGUGGGGAGCAAACAGGAUUAGAUACCCCUGUAGUCCCUGUCUCUUAUAC
rnacentral:rRNA from 1 species